UCCCUGGUGGUCCAGUGGUUAGGACUUAGGGCUUUUACUACUGGAGGCCCGGGGUUCAAUCCCUGGUCAGUGAG
rnacentral:tRNA from 1 species